rnacentral:rRNA from 1 species
GUAGAGCAGCAGAUCAAUUCCUUGGCCACUGNAAUACAUUAGCAUGGGAUAAUGGAAUAGNACCCUGUCCUCCUACUUUUCAGUUGGUUUAUGGCAGCGCGAAGGAACUACGGGGUAAAUGAAUUAAUAAGGGANUAUAGUUGGGGGCCUUAUAUUUAAUUUGUCAGAGUGUGAAAUUCUUGUGACUUUAAUGAAACCGACAUUAAACUUCUGCGCAAAAAGCACUCUUGUCCACAGGAUGUUUUUUCACUUUAAUCACAAGAACGCACAAAGGUUAGAGGGGGAGUCGCAAAGAACGCAAUCACGAAUAUCCGGUCGCUAAAUCCUUAACCAUANAACGAAUGCCGAACCACGCGCAUUAUGAGCAAGAAACGUUUGACAAUUAUCAUAAAACACCCACGCCAAUCGNGAUGUACGUGUAUCGGUUCCCAUAUGUGGCGGUCAUGCGUGGGCUCCGCGUUACAUACGGUGUGUGCGCGCAUGUGGCCGACGNGGGCGCUGGGGUUAUAAGGACCCCGUGCCUUGGGCCAAACCCGAGUGUNAGAAUUGAACAUACCC